UGGGGAAUAUUGCGCAAUGGGGGGAACCCUGACGCAGCCAUGCCGCGUGAAUGAAGAAGGCCUUAGGGUUGUAAAGUUCUUUCGGUAUUGAGGAAGGUUGAUGUGUUAAUAGCACAUCAAAUUGACGUUAAAUACAGAAGAAGCACCGGCUAACUCCGUGCCAGCAGCCGCGGUAAUACGGAGGGUGCGAGCGUUAAUCGGAAUAACUGGGCGUAAAGGGCACGCAGGCGGUUAUUUAAGUGAGGUGUGAAAGCCCCGGGCUUAACCUAGGAAUUGCAUUUCAGACUGGGUAACUAGAGUACUUUAGGGAGGGGUAGAAUUCCACGUGUAGCGGUGAAAUGCGUAGAGAUGUGGAGGAAUAUCGAAGGCGAAGGCAGCCCCUUGGGAAUGUACUGACGCUCAUGUGCGAAAGCGUGGGGAGCAAACAGGAUUAGAUACCCUGGUAGUCCACGCUGUAAACGCUGUCGAUUUGGGGGUUGGGGUUUAACUCUGGCGCCCGUAGCUAACGUGAUAAAUCGACCGCCUGGGGAGUACGGCCGCAAGGUUA
rnacentral:rRNA from 1 species